GCUGGGUGUGGUGGUGCAUGCCUGUAAUCCCAGCUACUUGGGAGGCUGAGGCAGGAGAAUUGCUUGAACUCUGGAGGUGGAGGUUGCAGUGAGCCAAGAUCGUGCCACUGCACUCCAGCCGGGGUGACAGAGUAAGACUCUGUCUCAA
ensembl:misc_RNA Metazoa_SRP Metazoan signal recognition particle RNA